CCCUCCUCCACCCUCCCCCGCUGAUGGGCUCGGCCGACCCUCAGGUGCUUUCAGCCUCCCCUCAGGCUGUAUAAUUCCAUUCCUGGAGCCCGAUCUGCAUUCUAGUAUGUACAUUUUCACCCUUCUGGGAAGGGAGUAGCCAAGAUUCACAAAUGCUUGUGGUUGAGCAAAACGACAAAAGUCAGGGGGUCUACAAAAGUGUGAAGUGGUAGGGUAGUAACUUCUCAUGCAAGACGGUUCAAGAGUCUGGUGGUCACUGAAAAAAUGUUUGACAUCCACUGUAUUAGGCAGGAAAGCAGCAGGUAGCUGAUGAUGCACACUGCAACCUACAGAGUUUAUAACACAAAGGGAAAACACUGAUGCCUUUUAUUGCCAUUGCAAGCAUUCCUGUACAAUAAACUGCUGCACCAAAGA